GAUGAACGCUGGCGGCGUGCCUAAUACAUGCAAGUCGAGCGAACGGACGAGAAGCUUGCUUUUCUGAUGUUAGCGGCGGACGGGUGAGUAACACGUGGAUAACCUACCUAUAAGACUGGGAUAACUUCGGGAAACCGGAGCUAAUACCGGAUAAUAUUUUGGACCGCAUGGUUCAAAAGUGAAAGACGGUCUUGCUGUCACUUAUAGAUGGAUCCGCGCUGCAUUAGCUAGUUGGUAAGGUAACGGCUUACCAAGGCAACGAUGCAUAGCCGACCUGAGAGGGUGAUCGGCCACACUGGAACUGAGACACGGUCCAGACUCCUACGGGAGGCAGCAGUAGGGAAUCUUCCGCAAUGGGCGAAAGCCUGACGGAGCAACGCCGCGUGAGUGAUGAAGGUCUUCGGAUCGUAAAACUCUGUUAUUAGGGAAGAACAUAUGUGUAAGUAACUGUGCACAUCUUGACGGUACCUAAUCAGAAAGCCACGGCUAACUACGUG
rnacentral:rRNA from 1 species